rnacentral:lncRNA from 1 species
CGGCCAGGAAUACGACAGAACGCCCUACGGCGGCGAGCUGCUGCUGC